rnacentral:precursor_RNA from 1 species
UCUCCAGUGAGACAGUCUCUGGUGAACUGGUCUCCAGUGACUCACUCCCUGGUGUACC